rnacentral:rRNA from 1 species
UACGUAGGGUGCGAGCGUUGUCCGGAAUUACUUGGCGUAAAGCGCACGUAGGCGGCUUGGUAUGUCGGGUGUGAAAUCCCCGGGCUCAACCUGGGAACUGCAUUUGUGACUGCACAGCUGGAGUGCGGCAGAGGGGGAUGGAAUUCCGCGUGUAGCAGUGAAAUGCGUAGAUAUGCGGAGGAACACCGAUGGCGAAGGCGAUCCCCUGGGCCUGCACUGACGCUCAUGCACGAAAGCGUGGGGAGCAAACAGG